rnacentral:lncRNA from 1 species
GCCCUGGACUGGAGAACAGUUGCAGCUCACUCUGCUGGGCCCAGUCAGACUGGCUGGGCACUGGAACAAGUAGCUGAUAUAGUUUAGUAGGCUGUUCCUUUCUUCCUAUCCUGGAGGCCCAACGUUAUCCAGAACUGGAAUGGAACAAGGUGUCUUCUUGUUUGGUUGUUGUUAUUUUCUGCUUUCAGGGACUUGCUAAGACAAUCCACUAAUUUUCAGAAUAUUACAAAUGGUGUAUGUGUAGGAGAGUUUGAUUCCAUCUCUUCAAUUUCAGAAGGAGCUUUGUUUCAAGCUUACUCAACUCUCAUGGUGAGUGAGUUUUUGAACUUGUACAUUUCUCUUAAUUUUGGAUCUUUUAUAAGUAAUAUUGCCAGGUGGCAUUGCUGGAAACAUUGUAGUGGGGAAAAAAAUAAACAGGUUAGGAAUAAAUCAUUAGACUUUUUUUCUCUCUUCAGUGAGACUUAAAAGACUUUGAUGAAUUGGUAAAAGGUGUAAAUAAAAUACUGGAAAGCAUAAGGUGAAAGGAAUACAUGCAAAAUUCUGAUUAUGAGAUAUUUUGGGCUUCCUUAAACCUAAACCUCCAGGACAAUUUAACAUAAAUAAUUUUAUUUUCAUCUAAGAUAGAUACUUUGUAUUAACCCUCUUGGCUACAGAAAACAAGCAUAAUACCUCCCCCCAAUCACAGGGAUCCUGUAUUUAUAUUUAUAUCUGUGAAUGAUACAAAGUAGAUAUUCUGUAAUAUUAUUUGAAUAAGAUUUCACCAUAUUCUGUGAUUCACUGCAGCCAAAAUCAAAACCAAAACAAAAAUUAAAUUUGGUAAAUUAGUGAUUAUAAUAGAAGAGAAAUUAACAAAAAAAAAAUGUUUCUAUAUGGAAAGGCUAAAGUUUUCCGAUGUAGAGACAUCUAAUAGGAUUACCUAUUUGUGUUGUUACUCAUAAAUCAGUGACUUUAUCUGAUCUAUGUUAAAUUUGCUAAACAGAGCUAUGACUCCUCUGCAGAACAAGCAUGUCAUGUUGUUUAUUCGUGUUCGAUAAUGUGUUGCUUCCUAACAUUUAAGCAUGUGGUAUCUGCAACUGCUGACAAAAGCCUGCUUGCCAUCAGAUUUGUGAUUAUGGUUUUAUGCCCCACCUAUUUCUUCUACCCACAAGACAGCCUGAGAUGGUACUGAUGGCCUCAGGGGUGCCACGCAGAAGGAUUACUCCAGAAGGUCUCACUCAUUCCCAUUCAACUUGCAGCAUAUUGAGUGUUUAGAGCAGGUGGAAACAAGGGAGCUCUCUAUUACAUGCCCAGAACAAGAUCACAUCUGUUUGACUAUAAACAGAAGGCUCCAGAGUUCUUCUGUGUUAAGUCUUCAUCUCAAUCAGACUGGGUGCACUAUGGAUUUCCUGGGUAUUAUUUCAGUAUUCAGAAUUAAGAAUAGACAUCUUCUCAGUUACCUGGACAUUCAGCUCUCUCAUUUAACACAUAAUGGGUCUGGUGCUUUUAUUCUCUUGCCUGAAAAGCUUACCAUGUAGGAGUCAGAUAGGGUAUCUUCAUAUUUUGAAGACCUUAACUAUAUUUAGUGGAUGUCUGAUAUAUUCCCUGAAAUGCUAUAAAGAAUGUUUUUGAGAGUUUUCUAUUCCCUUCUCAGCUAAUCAAUGAUCUGGAUAUGCCAUAUGCAAUCUUUUUUUUUUAACUUCAUUCCAAUUGCUUUAUCUCUCACAGACUUCAUUUUUUAAUAUUAUCAGUAGAUAAUAGUCCUACUACCAUGCUUCAUUUUCUCCUUCAGCAUGUACUAAGUAGCUUUGAUGUUCCAGGUUCACAGUACUGUACAAAGUACAAUAUUCCUUUCAAGGAUCCAAUAAACUAGUAAGGAAGGGCAGAAAAGAAAAUAGGCAGGACAUAGUGAAAAUUAGACAUAUAUGAGUGUCAUCAGCAUUUCUCUUCCCUGACUGCUAAAGAAUAUUCUGGAUUGUGGAAAGCAGUGACAGAGAAUGGGAGAGCAGUGUCUGUUUGGGGGAUCGCUGAUGACUUCAUGGCUGUGGCAUGUCUGGUGCCUGGGAAAGUUUCUGUGCAAAAGUGCAAGAUGCCUAGUUGCUAUGGUAAUACCAUCCAUGAGGAGGCUCUGUGAUGGAGUCUUAUCAGCAAGAAAAAAAAAAAAACUCUCUUGCUAGAUAACCACAAUGUUUCACCAGCUCUGCUGCUCCUGAGCCUACCUGCAUAAGAGUAACUUUAAACAAUGGACUUUCUUGAGAGCUACACAAAGCUCCUAACAUUGCACAUUACAACUGUAGAAUGUAACUGAGGAAUAAGCUGCAUAAUGUUGCCAACUCCAUAACUUUCAUGAAUACAAAGAAUAAUGCUUGCAUAGUCUUUAAUCUGAUUGAUGAGACAUAUAUAAUAAAGAUUGCUGGAGUAAUUCUUUAGACCUGCUUCUCCAUCAGAGAGCAGUGCUCCACCCAUUCCCAGCCAUUAUCUUCAAAAUCUGCAUAUGUGAGUCUUUAUUUUUCUAAUCUCCCAUCACCCCCUCACCAGAAUCUGCUAGUUUGGAUGUGCUGCUUGUGGCACUGGAUUUGAUACCUAAUUUUCAGUUUCUUCCUCUGAAUUCUUUCAACUACCUUGAGAGAAAAACUGCCAGGAAGGAAGGGAAAUAAGAGUAAAGGAGAAAAGAGUAACUUGUAACUCUUUUGUGGAAAUUGUGGACUGAUCAUAGGCGUGUCCUCUGUCUUGUUGGAGGCCCCAUUAAAAGAGAAGUUAGAUGUGAAAGAAAGAGUAAACUUACAGUAAAGAUGCAUGGAACUAGGAACUGAGAGUUUUAAACAAAGAAGGUGGAAGUUGAAUGGGACAUUUCUGUUGACCAAUAAACUACAGUGAUGGAAUCCCAGCCAUAACACAUGGUGAGGAUUAGUAGACAAGGUCAGAUGACUUACAAGGUAGAACAUUAGAGAGAUCACAAGGUCAGAGGCAGGAGCAGGAGAAAGUCUGGCUAACCACCUCUGAACCUCUGAGUAGAACUGAUUGGGUUUGACUGUUGAAUGUGUCUCUAGCAUUUUCCUCACUUCCCCUUCAAGGAAACCAGAGAGGCUAUUUUCUUAUGUCACCAACUUGCCUGUGCCUGAGAAAUGAGCAAGCAGACAGAGAGGUUGUCUUGCUCUUCCUUCUCUCCUUUAAGACAGGCAUGUAUAUUAUAUGGACACAUAGGAUUGGCCCCAUAACAAUAUGUGCAUUCAUUUCACGAAACACCUUAAAACACUGUAAUAAUUGAAGUAAAUCCUAAUAGGUUGCAAUGGAAGACCAUUUAUUUUUCUUCUUUAAAAUGGUCUGAUCAUCAGAGAUGCUGCUAUUGCUGCUGCUGUUGCUGCUGCUGCUACUGCUGCUGCUGCUGCUGCUGUUGCUGCUACUACUACUACUGAUAAAUGAAUAGAAUGGCAUCACUGAAUAUUUGUUACUUUGGAGGAGAGAGUGAGCUUAGAUUUAAUUGACACUGCAUGUCUAUCUCUUCUUCCAUUGCCUUUUAUCAAGCUGCAGAAAUCCAACACUUUGCAGUGUGGUUAUAAUUCUUUCACACUAAAAUUUAGUUUAUAAGCAAGAGUGUGUGUGAGAUCUCUUAAGUUAUUAAAACCACUUUAUGUGAUAGUUUAACUCAAUAUCAAGUGCUUUAGUAAAUAACACAGGAAGUAAAGAAAAACCCAAGGUUACUAUGAAAAAUUUACUAAGACCAUAGACUUGUAACAAUAAAUAUUAUUAAGUAAACAAUAAAUGUCAAAACUUGGGCUUCUAUUUAAUAUACAUAAUCAUCUCAAUACGUUUCAACACAACUUUGGUUACUGUAGUCCUGUUGAUGUCUAUGGGAGAGCACAGGGAAUGCACUGGAGCUGGCCUAGUCUGUGGCACUCACACUUUAGUGUGCAUCAGCAUCAUAGCACCUAACACCUGUUAAAAGAGGCAGUGGGGUCCUAUCCUCAGAAUUUGAGAUCCUGCAUGUCUGGGCUGGGCACUAGGGGUUUGCAUCUCAAGAUUUUUUCAUCUCAGGUUUCCAUGUGUUGUUGUUGCUGCUCCUGGUCCAGGAUCCAUACUGGCUCAAAAAAAGGAGUGGUAUGAUUUCUUGAAAGCAAAGGAAAACAAGUUAAUUUUUUCCUUCCUUAUUCGCAUGUCUAUUCAUUCUUAGCUUCUUGAGGCCAAAACCAAUGUAUUACUCUCCAUUUCCCACCAGCAUCUACUAGAAUACCUUGUACUUACUAGACAAUGUAUAUUCAGUGGUAACCCACUCUCCAUUGGUACUCUCUGUUGGUUCCACUGAUGCCAGAUUACAGUUUUCUAAAUAUUUCUGUUUAAGACAAUUUCACCAACACAAAAUUCUUUAAUCCCAAAGAAUUUCUUAAAGAGGUCAUAUCUUUGAUGCCAUGGAACAUUUAUACUUUCUCUGGUUUGGGGAUGAUUGGUUGUUGUAUUUGAAGAAAAAUAAAAUUUAACUAUUAAAUUAUUUAAGUGUAGGUAAAAAUAAAAAUCUUAACUCCAAAAACUAAUAGCUCAUGAAAAAAUCCAGUCAAUUUUCAUAACUAAACUUAAUCUAAAAUUUCAUGCAAAUUCACUGUAAUAUGUUUUUGUUCACUUAUUCAACUGAAAUUUAUUGGGCUCUUUUUAUAUGAAUUAUUCCUCCCUUAACCUUUGGGAUCACAUUAUACUACUAAUAGCACUUAACCAACAUUAUUGGGGGAAAAAACUUUUUUAUAUCCAGUUCCCACAGCAAAUUAUGCAGGCACCUUAGGUACAUUAAGGAAUAUCUGUCUGAAUUAGACUUGGCAUUGAAAAUUCUUUUGAAAAUAUUUUUAUUUGAAAAUAUUUUUUGAAAACAAUUUGAGAUUUCUAGUGAGGUAAUAAUAUACAUAGCAUAUUGCAAAUGGUUGUAGUUCCAAAUGGAUACAUUAAUGCACACUCUUGCUUCACCCUAAGAUUUAUCUAUCUAUAUAUAUGUAAGAUAUAUAUAUGUAAGACUUACCUUACAUAUAUAUAAAACAGAGUCAUGGUCUUAGAAGACUUUUCACUUGAGAGGGUGAAGCAAGAGUGUGCAUUAAUGUAUCCAGUUGGAACUACAAACAUUUGCAAUAUGCUAUGUAUAUUAUUAGUUUACUAGAAAUCUCAAAUUAUUUGAAAAAACAGACCCCAAUCAUAUUGUGAACAAGGACUGUUUCAUGAAAUCUUGUAAAAUAUCCCAUUUAUAGCUAUUGCUCAAUAAGCCAUUAUUGAAUUUAAUGAUAUAAUUCAAUAAUCAUACAAAAGACUUCUGAGGACAGGGACUGUAUCAUAUUCACGUUUAUAUUUCGCAUCUCCCAAAAUGCUCUGCAUAUGGUUGAAUUGUUGUAUACCUGCAAGUUCCAGGUGCAUUAUCCUAUUAAAUUCCAAGAGAGUUGGGCUUUAUACAUGAUUCAUUAAUUUAAAAAGAAGUAAAGGAAAAAAAGAAAAAAAACAAAACAAAAAAUAAACAAAACUUCUUGGCUAACAAUCAUCUUAACAUUGGAAGCUCUGCUCUAAGGUCUGUAAAUUGUAGUGCUGCAUUUAAGAAAAACAGCAGCAACAACAAAAACUAAAGAGAGCGCUUAUAGACCAUUCUGAUAUUACAAUAGUAUAUGUUAAGAUAAAAUUAUAGCUGGAUAGGACCACCAAGAAUUAUGUCAUAUUAAAUAUUGUUCCCAUGAAUUAUAGAUGCUUUUGCUGGUAAAAUGAUCCCAUGAGUCUUCUGAGCCUCUGCAGUAAAUCUGGUGAUUCACUGAAAAUUGGACCUUGUUACGCUGGAAACGAAGAGAAUGAUUAAAAGGAAAUAAGAACAAGAAAAGGACUAUUCACCAACCCCAACAACCAGAAGAUUUGAAGAUGCUUAACAUGAACUACUGAAAUGUUCAUUGGCUAAUGUCCCUAGGAGAAUCUUUCUCUACAGUCAUGGUUCAUUAGCUUGGUAGCAUUCUCUUCUCUACUUAAGUUAAGGACAGGUAUGUGUGGAAGGAGUGAUGACAUUGAGGAAUGUCUUGAAAAAUUCUGCCUCAAAGUGCCAACUAAGCCAGGCAAAAACACAUUUCUUAGAUCCAUGUAACUAAAAAUUUUGCUGAUAUGUUAACAUAAAAGCUAGCAAUAUGUAGUAGAUGUGUUAUAGUCUUCAUCUUACCAUGGAACCAAGAUCAUAUAAAAUUUAGUAUUUAUAAAUUAUGGUGCUGAAACAAGUAUCAACUAUCCCUAUUGAUUUAAUAUGAUUUUAUUUCCUGGAACUUGCUGGUGGAACUGCAGAUAAGCUAGUAACACAGCUUGGUUCUGUGAGUUGGCCUUUGGGAACUCUUUUCAUCAGAUAGUACUGAUUUUCUGUGGUUUUAUUCAGUGUGACCCAUCAAAUUCCUGAGUGUAUCAUCUUGCAGUAUGAAGCUUUCAGGGUGUGAAUAGCCAGGAAUAAAUGAGAAGGAGCUAUUUAUGUUUGGUGAAAAGAAGGAAAGUGGGAACCUUGGAUACUUGGACAUCACCACCUUUUCUAUCAUGUGAGGUUGACUCAUUCUGAAACAACUCUGAAUAGUAAUAUUGUUUAAUGAAUAUUCUUGUUUAACAUAUAUCAUAUAUAGUAACCAUUAUACAGAAUAAUGCCAUGAACUUUAUAAUCUUCUUAGUUUAUUUUUUAAUUCAUUAGAAAAAUCCAGUUAGGAGAGGUUGAAAAAAAUGGUAGACUCAACAAACUCAUCUUAUAGUAACUGCACUCUGAAAUUGAAACAAAACAACAGUUCUGUCAUGGCAUGAUGAAGUAGAAAGGCUGUGGGAAGGCAUCAGAAGACACCAGAAAACCAGCAACCAGGCAACCAUCAGAAAUAAUGGCUUUUCAAAUAGAGCAACAGGUACAGACUGUGGCAGAACCUGGUGAGCAAGGACUUACUGGGGGGUGGGGGGGAGCUCCUUUCUGAUGACCUGAAAGAAAAUUUCCCAGUGAAUUUAAGAAAAGCAGGCUCCACUGUCCAUCAAAUUUUCAACAUAGAUAAGAAAAAUGCUUUGAUUUUAUGAAGCCAGCUGGUGUAUACGAGGAUUCCAGCGCUUCUUAGUGGAUCGAGUGAAAGGGGUAAAGCAGCUUAAAAGGGCUCUUUGUUAGCCCUAAUAUCCAGAAUAUACAAAGAACUCAAAAAAUUAAACAAUAAGAUAACAAAUAACCCAAUCAACAAAUGGGCCAAGGACCUGAACAGACACUUCACAGAGGAGGACAUACAAUCAAUCAACAAGCACAUGAAAAAAUGCUCA